UAUAUAUUAGAGAUAAUAUAUAGUACCGACUAUGUCNNNUAAAGUUCUAGAUAGAAAAAUGAUAAUGACAAUUUUCUAUCUAUAUGUCUUGACCAAAUCUUGUGCCAGCAGUCGCGGCAACACAAGGGAGACUAGNGUUAUUCAUCUUUAUUAGGUUUAAAG
rnacentral:rRNA from 1 species